rnacentral:rRNA from 1 species
GCGGCGUGCUUAACACAUGCAAGUCGAGCGAUGAAGUUUCCUUCGGGAAACGGAUUAGCGGCGGACGGGUGAGUAACACGUGGGUAACCUGCCUCAUAGAGUGGAAUAGCCUUCCGAAAGGAAGAUUAAUACCGCAUAAUGUUGAAAGAUGGCAUCAUCAUUCAACCAAAGGAGCAAUCCGCUAUGAGAUGGACCCGCGGCGCAUUAGCUAGUUGGUGGGGUAACGGCCUACCAAGGCGACGAUGCGUAGCCGACCUGAGAGGGUGAUCGGCCACAUUGGGACUGAGACACGGCCCAGACUCCUACGGGAGGCAGCAGUGGGGAAUAUUGCACAAUGGGGGAAACCCUGAUGCAGCAACGCCGCGUGAGUGAUGAAGGUUUUCGGAUCGUAAAGCUCUGUCUUUGGGGAAGAUAAUGACGGUACCCAAGGAGGAAGCCACGGCUAACUACGUGCCAGCAGCCGCGGUAAUACGUAGGUGGCGAGCGUUAUCCGGAUUUACUGGGCGUAAAGGGAGCGUAGGCGGAUGAUUAAGUGGGAUGUGAAAUACCCGGGCUCAACUUGGGUGCUGCAUUCCAAACUGGUUAUCUAGAGUGCAGGAGAGGAGAGUGGAAUUCCUAGUGUAGCGGUGAAAUGCGUAGAGAUUAGGAAGAACACCAGUGGCGAAGGCGACUCUCUGGACUGUAACUGACGCUGAGGCUCGAAAGCGUGGGGAGCAAACAGGAUUAGAUACCCUGGUAGUCCACGCCGUACACGAUGAAUACUAGGUGUGGGGGUUUCAACACCUCCGUGCCGCCGCUAACGCAUUAAGUAUUCCGCCUGGGGGAGUACGGUCGCAAGAUAAAAACUCAAGGGAAUCGACGGGGGCCCGCACAAGUAUCGUAGCAUGUGGUUUAAUUAGAAGCAACGUGGAAGAACCUUACCUCCACUUGACAUUCCUUGCAUUAAUAUUAAUCGAGGAAAUCCCUUGGGGGACAAGGUGACAGGUGGUGCAUGUUUGUCGUCAGAUCGUGUCGUGAGAUGUUGGGUUAAGUCCCGCAACGAGCGCAACCCUUGUCGUUAGUUACUACCAUUAAGUUGAGGACUCUAGCGAGACUGCCUGGGUUAACCAGGAGGAAGGUGGGGAUGACGUCAAAUCAUCAUGCCCCUUAUGUGUAGGGCUACACACGUGCUACAAUGGCUGGUACAGAGAGAUGCAAUACCGGGAGGUGGAGCCAAACUUAAAAACCAGUCUCAGUUCGGAUUGCAGGCUGAAACUCGCCUACAUGAAGCUGGAGUUACUAGUAAUCGCGAAUCAGAAUGUCGCGGUGAAUACGUUCCCGGGUCUUCUACACACCGCCCGUCACACCAUGAGAGUUGGCAAUACCCGAAGUCCGUGAGCUAACCGCAAGGAGGCAGCGGCCGAAGGUAG